UACGAAGGGGGCUAGCGUUGCUCGGAAUCACUGGGCGUAAAGCGCACGUAGGCGGCUUUCUAAGUCAGGGGUGAAAUCCUGGAGCUCAACUCCAGAACUGCCUUUGAUACUGGGAAGCUCGAGUCCGGAAGAGGUGAGUGGAACUCCGAGUGUAGAGGUGAAAUUCGUAGAUAUUCGGAAGAACACCAGUGGCGAAGGCGGCUCACUGGUCCGGUACUGACGCUGAGGUGCGAAAGCGUGGGGAGCAAACA
rnacentral:rRNA from 1 species